CUAAAAGGGAGAGAGUUGUUGCUGAGGAGGAAGAGUUGGAUUACUGAAGAAGUAUGAAGAGUCAAAUAUAGGGAAGGCAAGGGUGACAGACUAGAGGAAAUUAUGAGGAGACUGCAUGUGCCCAGAGGGGAAGAAGCUAGACAAAGACAGAGUUUCAAGAGAAGUGAGGACAGGGGAGAAGAAAGUUUGAGCUUUUAAGGGAUAGAUUUAGGCUUCACUCGUAGGAUCUAGAAUAAACCUGUUGUUCGUUCGUCUGAGGGCUGAUGGCCUUUUAGGCUGGGAAUUACAUUAAAAUAAUAAAUACUCCUUUGAUACCUAUACUAGCAUACCUCACACUUUGGGAA
rnacentral:lncRNA from 1 species